rnacentral:rRNA from 1 species
AUGCGUGCAGGCAUAGAGGAGGUCUUUCCAUCGGCAGUGCACAGGCACUGCAGGUGGCACAUUAUAAAGAAGGCUAAGGAGACGCUAGGACCGUUCUUUGCUAACCGUCCAGAGCUGCACAAGGCAUUCGAGCUGUGCAUAGACCACAGCUUGACCGUGGAGGAGUUUGAAAGGAGCUGGAUGGCCAUGAUUGAAACACAUCAAGUCCAAGACAACAAGACACUUGCUAACCUGUGGGAGAAGCGAAUGUACUGGGUGCCGGCCUACUUCAUGCAGUGCUUCUUCCCAUUUCUGCAGACUACGCAGUGCAGCAAGGGGUUCAAUGCUGUUUUGAAGUGGUACGUCAGCCCUGGCAACUCAUUGCUACAGUUUGCCAAGCAGUACAUAGCUUUGCAACAAAAAAUUCUAGGAUCUGAGCUACAGCAAGAAGCGACCACAACACUAAAGUAG